rnacentral:rRNA from 1 species
UACAGAGGGUGCGAGCGUUAAUCGGAAUUACUGGGCGUAAAGCGUGCGUAGACGGUUAUUUAAGUCGGAUGUGAAAGCCCCGGGCUCAACCUGGGAAUUGCAUUCGAGACUGAAUAGCUAGGGUACGGUAGAGGGAAGCGGAAUUUCCGGUGUAGCGGUGAAAUGCGUAGAGAUGUGGAGGAACACCAGUGGCGAAGGCGACUCUUUGGCCUGUAACUGACGCUGAGGCGCGAAAGCUAGGGGAGCAAACGGG